CUCUGUCUCCCUCUCUCUCUCUCAAAAAUAAAUACAUGUUAAAAAAAUUUUAAACAAUUUAUUGUGGAAUUUCAGAAUAUCAACAAUAAAGAGAAUAUCCUGAGGAGUAGAGAUUGGAGGCAAGAAGUAACAUUGGUAAAGGAACAACCACCAGACUGGCCUUAGACUUUCCAUCAGUAACUGGAUUUAAAGCAAAAGCAAAGAGUAAAGACAUGUUAGCCAUUGAGCAGUAGCCCAGAAGAAUGACAAAAUGAGCCCUGACUCUGGAACCAGCUGUUGUGUUCAAAUUUGAUUAUGAUGAAUAACUUGUGCUUUUGGGAAAAUGAUUUAACCUCCUUGUGCCUCAGUUUCCUUUCCUGUCAAAAGAUCAUAAUAGCCCUCAAGUUCAGUGUUGCUGUUAGGACUAAAUGAGUUAAUUUUCAUAAAAUCCCUUUAAAAACAUGUCACAAUGUAAUCUCUAGAUAAGUCUUUCUUGAAUAAGAAAAAAAAAAAAAUUCCAGGACCAAAAAAAAAAAAAAAGUUUACCUCACUUGUACCCUUUCUUAGGAAAUUAUUUGAGGAUGUAGAUGAGUUAAAUUAGUGAUCUGUCAGGAUGCUUUCAGUUAUAAGGAACAGAAAACCCAAGACAAACUGAUAUGAAGUAAUAAAGAUGACUUAGUCCUUUACAGAGCUGAAAAGAUCGGAAGCAGAGUAGACUCAUGGUGCAAUUCAGUCAGAGUUCUGGCUGUGCUUCCUUGUGAUUUUUCAGUCUACCCUCCUUGGCUCUAUCCUAAGGUUGGCUCCUCUCAUGGCUAUAAUAUGCCUGCAGUAGCAUUGGUGGCCACAUGAUACUUCAGUAAUAUCCAGGAGAAGAGGGACUAUGAUUUGCUUCAAACAUUGUACUAAAAUCAUAAGCUUUACACUGUUUAGGCCACCUUUGCAUCCGGGGGAAUGCAUAGCCUGAUUAGGUUAAAUCCUGAGGAGAAUUUGGGGGCAUAGUCUCCAAAGCUGUCCUCACCACCUGCAGGAGUUUAGCCAACUGUAAAGUUAGUCCCUCGGACUCCCUUACUUUUGAUACCAAGUGCAAACUGGGGAGAUUCUCAAAAUCCCUCGGUUUCAAGAAUUCACUAGAAGGACUCACAGAACUCAUUAAAAGCUGUGAUACUCAUGGUUACCAUUUAUUAUGUUCAAAACAAGAAAGGGUUACAGAUUACGGCCAGCCAAGGGAAGAGAUGCAUAGGGCGGAGUCCAGGGGAAAUACCAAAUGUAGAGCUUCCACUUAUCCUCUCCCCAUGGAGUUAAGGAGAGUGUUAACUCUUUCUGGCUAUGAUGUAUAACAAUGUACAGGAUAUUGCCAUUCAAUCAGAGAAGUUCAUCCAAGCCUUUGAUGUCCAGAUUUUAUUGGGGCUUGACCACAUACUGCCUAUAUGGUUGACCCUUAUUCUCCUGCCCGUCCAGAGGUCAGGCUGAUUUCUAGUCCCUUCAGAGGUAGGAAAUGAUACCACAUGACCCAAAACCCCCAUCAUAAAUCAUAAAUCACAUUCUUAGGCUGCCUGGUGGCCAGAGACACUCCUAUCAGGCAGGACAUUCCAGAAGCCUAGAGAUCCCCGCCCCCUCAGCCCAGCUUGAAACUAUCAUUGUGACCAAGAGGGAUGAGCUUAUCCUGAUUGGCUUAAACCCAUUAGGGCCAACCUCUGAAACUGGUAUUGAGGGCAAUCCUUCUCAGACUGUGUGGCUGUUGCACAAUGGAGGUGGAUGAAACAAAUGUUUGUGUGGCCAUCAAAAUGCCCACUGGAAAAAGAGAGUAAACCAAGAAGGAGGGAGACAUAGAAUCUGAGGAAUGUUGCAUUGAAACCAGAAGUGCCAGGAAGCCAAAUCUCAGGAUGAUGGUUUUAUAGCAGAUCUGGAAAAAAAUAAAGAGCCAUGACUUCAUGUUUGAUUAUGGAGAACAGUGAUUGCUGGAUGUGUUUUGAACCUGAUGAAGUGAGGACCACACUUAUUAUCUGCAAAAUUUACCCGUCCUUUGUUCAUUCCUUCGGGGCUCUGCACUCCGCUAAGAAUAUUCUCAUGAUGGCUGAUUAGUUUGAUAUGUUAUUACUCCAAUUAAGAUUAUUGCAUUUUAACCAGGAUAUAUAAUGGUAGCUAUUGCCAGGACUGGGGCAGGAUUUGGGGGGGAGAGAGGGGAGCAGAAGCCUUGAGACAGAAAGAACCAAAUUCUUUCUGUGUAAGUGUGUCGUUUGCAAACUUUAUUGUGCAUCAGAAUCAUGUGAUUAAGUAUGGGUAGGAUCUUCCCCAGUGAUUAUGAUGAAAACCAAAAUUUGAAAAUCAGUGUUGUAGAUCAGUGGUUCUCAAAUUCACUUGUCCACUGGAGUAAUCUGUGAAGUUGAAAAUACUUAAGCCCUGGCCUUACCUGCAGAGAUAGUUCCAGUUGGUCAGACUGAGACCUAGGCAUAGAUAUUUUAUAAAAUUCCCCAGGAGAUUUGAGUGUUCAGCCAAAGUUAAAAAUCGCUGAUGGGUGUCUUUCUGCACCCAACUAGGCCAGGAUGAAUGACAGGUGCAGAUGAAGAAAUACAAUCCUCCCAAAUAGCUUGAACCACCCAUCAAAGCCAAGCUCUCUUUGGGAGAAUGUUCCACCUCUCCGUUGUAAAUGGCAUAUUUACAGCCAUUUCCUCUGUUCACUGCCAGGCCUGAGACAUUGUUGAGUGCUAUGGAGUAGCUAUUGCGCUUCUCUCCGGGUGGGUAAAAUUAUUCUGAAAUAUAAUGUUCGGAAUACAGUAAAGCAGAGUGCAUUAUAUAUGUAUAAAUUAGUACUAGUCAUAAUAAUAAUGAGGCCUCAGAAAGAACUUUCUAAAAAUGGUUUGACUUUCAAAGAGGCCAAAAUAGUUUAAUUUAAGGGUACGUUUCCACUCUUGUCUUGAGAUCUGCUCAUGUGGCUUCUAUUGAUGAUAAUGUUAGUUGUGAGCUCUUAUUCAGUAGGCGUGGUAAUCAAGUACUACAUUUAAAGGGGGACUUAAGUGGUGGCCCACAUAUCAGUUGGGCAACAUUCUGUUUCCAAAGGUUAUUCACCUCCAUUUAAAUGCAGAAGAAUUAAAAUCAAAUCAUUUCAGAUUUUUCUAAAUCCAAGUCAAGGAUGUCUGCCUUUGUUCUUUUUUCCACUUUUGAAAUUUCUAAGAGAGCAAAGCAGAACAAUGGUCUUUUUUUUUUUUUUUUUUUUUUUAAGUUGAAUGUGCUAUGUUUUCUGGGCUCAUUAGGAUGCAAGAAAUAGGCUCUCAAGGUAUCUUAACUGCUGUGGGUGAGAUGGGAGCAUAACCUCAGGUAUUUUCAUAGUAACAGGGGGUACCUAUCUCAGUUGGGUAGCCAGGCCUAGACAACAACAACAACAACAACCAAAAACUUAGAAAACUAAACCAGCAGGGUGUCAGAAAGCAUAAUGGAGCUGGUCUUGCUGAGCCAGGAGAGUUUGGAGGCUGGAAGGUUACUUAGGAUCCAGUGCCCUUCUGUAAAUCAGCCUCAUUCUGGCUGUGGCCGUGUGCUCAGAAACCCCGUUGGGCUGGACAAGUAGGCUCCCUGAUACCACCUUCAGCAAAGGGGCUGUCCUAGAGAUGUACGUGGACUGGGAUGGAAAAGCCAUGCCAGACAGAGGCUGCUUAGGAUCAGCUUCAUUCAUUCGCUCUCUCUCUUUCUCAUGUAUCUCUGCGUUUUCUUCAUGUCUGCUCUGUUCUCAUCUCAUUCCUGUCUUGCCAACCCAACCCAAAAUAAACUGGUCUGAUUGGUUUGGCUAAUAUUACCUCAAACCAGUGAUCCCAUAAAUCACCUGCAAACCUGCAGAUGGGCCCCUGGUCCAAUUUCAUGACUGUCUUUGAACAAAACAAACAAACAAAAAAGACUAGCCCUGCUUCCUGAAGCAGGAGGCUAUGAAUGAGGUAGAGUCAUCUAGAAGGGGUGGUUAGGUAUAGCAGGCACCGUGUUUGACAUACUCUUAAAAACCGUGAACAUUAUUUUGCUAAUCUUGCUACUAUUAACCAAAGAGCACUAUGUUCUGUUAUGUGCCUGUGGCUUCUUGUUAUACAUGGCUACAUCCUUUUCUGUAAGACUUUUAUAUUUUCUUCCCUGUCAGCUGACUUUUUGGGUAUUUGCAGUUCAAACUCUUGAUAAAGAAGAUCUGGUUGGUCUAGUUUCUAAUUAUUGGCUCUAUAUGGCAAAUGUCUCUUUUAAGGCCACCCCUUUGGCUACUAAUCAACCAAUCAAUUUUCUCUUUGGGUCAGAUGCCUUUCCCUGAUCCAAUCAGUUGUGUCCAAGGUGGGGUGGGAUGUCACAUGGGUCACUUCUAUGUACCUAAUAUUUCUUCAUUUACCUAGAACCAUGUAGAAGGAACACUCAUAAGGAAAUUAUAAUAAUCAGUAUUCUUAUGGGCAAUAGCUACCUAAUUUAAGGUUUAAAAAAAAAAAGUUUUAGUAAAAGGUGUCAGAUAGCUUAUAAAAUCUCAAGUAGAACCAGAAAACCAUGCUUAGAAGAUUUACCACCAGGAACAGUGCAGCUUAGAAAAAUAUAUAAUCACUAAGGACAGUUCUAGAGAAACACGACUGCUGCCAGACCUGCUGCUUGGCACCUGCUGCUUAGUCACUCCAGAGUAACUCUAGAAAUUCUACCCAGGCUUCCCUGAAGAACCAGAUACCCCUGUCAUUGGGCUUACCUGGUGACUGGGGCUUACCUCUGGCAUCUGCUGCCUCAUGGAGCUCAUCUCCAUUUCUAAGUCCCACGAAUUCCGCACCAGUUAGAGCAUGCAGAAAACCUUAGCUACAAAGGACUUGGAGAAAUGUAAGUUUUAGUUUUCCAAGUAACUGUGAGGUAAGACUCAAGCUAGGAAACCGUUAAGAAUGGGUAUUGAAAGAGCCAAGAAGAGUCCACCCAAGGGAAUUCUGAGAUGUCAACAUUCCAGCAUCUCUCCCUCAGUCCUUACAGAACACUGUAAGGAUGCCUUAUUGGGUAGACAGCUGUCCUUACUUGGAUAAUAUUCAAGGAAGUACUCUUUUCCUGGUCUCCUUUAACAAACGUGGACUCCCUCCAUUAGCCAAGUCGAACUUCUGGUUCACUCAUUCCUUUCUUUCUGCCUUUGCUGAAAUCUCUCUUAGGAAAUUCUCCUAUUCUUUACUACAAAUAUGUGUGCAAACCCAGAUUUCAAGAGCCAACUUAUACCUCACUUCCCUAAGUAACACUAUCAUCUUCUGAUCACCCCUUCAAUCCCAAACUCCUCAGUCUCCCCACCCCCCAGGCUGAGUGAUGUUGGUGUUACAAGAAUUUACUCUGGCUUCAUAUACAUGUUACACUGUUCGUGCAGCUCACCUCUCACAAUGGAGUGGCACGUAAUGCCCGUACAAUAGAUACUUACCAAA